UACGAAGGGGGCUAGCGUUGUUCGGAAUUACUGGGCGUAAAGCGCACGUAGGCGGACCAGAAAGUUGGGGGUGAAAUCCCGGGGCUCAACCUCGGAACUGCCUUCAAAACUAUUGGUCUUGAGUUCGAGAGAGGUGAGUGGAAUUCCGAGUGUAGAGGUGAAAUUCGUAGAUAUUCGGAGGAACACCAGUGGCGAAGGCGGCUCACUGGCUCGAUACUGACGCUGAGGUGCGAAAGCGUGGGGAGCAAACGGG
rnacentral:rRNA from 1 species